AGAGUUGAUCCUGGCUCAGGAUGAACGCUAGCGACAGGCUUAACACAUGCAAGUCGAGGGGCAGCAUAAAAGUAGCAAUACUUGGUGGCGACCGGCGCACGGGUGAGUAACGCGUAUGCAACCUACCUAUCAGAGGGGAAUAACCCGGCGAAAGUCGGACUAAUACCGCAUAAAACAGGGGCACCGCAUGGUGAUAUUUGUUAAAGAAAUUCGCUGAUAGAUGGGCAUGCGUUCCAUUAGGUAGUUGGUGAGGUAACGGCUCACCAAGCCGACGAUGGAUAGGGGAACUGAGAGGUUGGUCCCCCACACUGGUACUGAGACACGGACCAGACUCCUACGGGAGGCAGCAGUGAGGAAUAUUGGUCAAUGGGCGGGAGCCUGAACCAGCCAAGUCGCGUUGAAGGAAGAAGGAUCUAUGGUUCGUAAACUUCUUUUGCAGGGGAAUAAAGUGCAGGACGUGUCCUGUUUUGUAUGUACCCUGAGAAUAAGGAUCGGCUAACUCCGUGCCAGCCGCUGC
rnacentral:rRNA from 1 species